UUGUUUCCGCUUAGAAUGAAGGUCUUAAUUCUCCAAUUCCAGCACCUAUCAAAAGACUAGACCUUACCCAAGUCAAGUUUCAAUUCAAUUAAGCACCAAAGGAGAAUAAUUUCCAGCACCAAAUUAGAGGUCAAAGAACAAAAGCAAGAAACAAUUUAAUUGAAUAAAACAGUACCACCAAAAGGGGUUAGAUUAUGACAACUAGAAAGAGGUCCAAGAAAUAUUAAGCAAGCAAAAAAAAGGUACCAAAAUAAAGGUAGGCACACAAAAGAAUCCUAAGAAUAGCACUAGAAUUAGAUGACCAAAUAAAAAAACAGCACCACUGGAAAAUGUUGUGGGCCAGAAACGUGUUUUUCCCCAAUUUAUGCUGAGCUGUGUUUUUAAGAUAUGAUUCUGAAAUUUGAUAUGCAAGAUAUUCAAGAUCUUAGCUAAAAUCUGGCUUUGGAAUCACUCAAAACGCAUGCACCAAUGUUUUUUAAUAAAUUUUGCAAUUUUGGUGUUCAGUUACGCCAGCUGUAGCGCCUCAGAUUUGCACACUGAUUUUAAAAGAUUUAUCAUUUUUUUUCUGUUGAUUCUUUUGGACUAAUUCUUUUUUUGUCCUUUCUAUAACACUUCAAACUUGCAUACUCCAAAGAAUCAAAAUUUUCCUAUGAGUGAAAAUAUUUUUCUGGAACAAAACAGCCAGCACAGAAAAUUUGAAACAGGGGAUUCUGGAAACUGGAAACAAAAACAGCAAGAUACCAAAAUUUAAACACAAUAGAAUUUGUGAAAUAGAAUUUUUGUAGGAUCUAAACACAAAUAGGAACCCAAACUAAAAUUAAAAAGGCACCAAAAGAUCAAAGAACAGCAGAUUCAAAGCAAUUAAAGAUACCUAAAAUCAAGAAACAAUCAAGCCAAA
rnacentral:lncRNA from 1 species